rnacentral:rRNA from 1 species
GAAUUGACGGGGCCCGCACAAGCGGUGGAGCAUGUGGUUUAAUUCGACGCAACGCGAAGAACCUUACCAGGGCUUGACAUCCCCUGACCGCGUAUGAAAGUACGUUUUCACCCUCGGGUGACAGGGAGACAGGUGGUGCAUGGUUGUCGUCAGCUCGUGUCGUGAGAUGUUGGGUUAAGUCCCGCAACGAGCGCAACCCCUACGUUUAGUUGCUAACGCGUGAAGGCGAGCACUCUAGACGAACUGCCGUUGACAAAACGGAGGAAGUGGGGAUGACGUCAAAUCAUCAUGCCCCUUAUGUUCUGGGCUACACACGUGCUACAAUGGCCGGUACAGACGGACGCAAAGCCGCGAGGUGGAGCAAAUCCUAAAAAGCCGGUCUCAGUUCGGAUUGCAGGCUGCAAUUCGCCUGCAUGAAGUCGGAAUCGCUAGUAAUCGCAGGUCAGCAUACUGCGGUGAAUACGUUCCCGGGCCUU